GACGAACGCUGGCGGCGUGCUUAACACAUGCAAGUCGAACGGCAAGGCCCUGCUUUUGUGGGGUGCUCGAGUGGCGAACGGGUGAGUAACACGUGAGUAACCUGCCCUUGACUUUGGGAUAACUUCAGGAAACUGGGGCUAAUACCGUAUAGCAGCUCCUGCUGCAUGGUGGGGGUUGGAACGUUUCGGCGGUUGGGGAUGGACUCGCGGCUUAUCAGCUUGUUGGUGGGGGAGUGGCUUACCAAGGCUUUGACGGGUCGCCGGCCUGGGAGGGGGAUCGGCCACAAUGGGACUGAGAGACGGCCCAGACGCCUACGGGAGGCAGCAGGGGGGAAUAUUGCACAAUGGGCGGAAGCCGGAUGCAGCAACGCCGCGUUCGGGAUGACGGCCUUCGGGUUGUAAACCGCUUUAGCCUGUGACGAAGCGGGAGUGACGGUAAUGGGUAAAGAAGCACCGGCUAACUACGUG
rnacentral:rRNA from 1 species